AGCCGGGAUGGCAAAAGGGGCGGGGGCAAGGGAGGAGGGGCGGGACUAGGGCGACAUUCUCCUCCAAUCGGAACGGGGCGAGGAGAGGAGAGACGGCGGAAGGAGCCAAUGGGAUUCCAAAGAAAUAAGGCGAAGGGGAGACAGACAGCGGGAGGAGCCAAUGGGGCUCCAUAAUAAGGGGAAUGGGGUUGGCUGUGACCGUAAGAGUCUCUGCCUCAGUGUGGCGCAGUUUGUGAGAGAGGAAGGAGCGCCUGCUGCUGCUACUGCUGCUCUUCUUGGAGGCUCCCCUGAAGAAGGAUGGGAGUCCCCUGAGGAAGCGGGAAAGAACGAGCAGGAGGAGGCUGUACAGCUCCCUUUCGUCGGCGAAGGGGUGUGUUCUCCUCUAUGGUUGUACCAGAAAUGACUAAAGUGUAAGAUGGAGAAGACUGAGGCUCGCAGCAUGAUAAAGUUCCUUCAUUUGAAGGGUAAUAAUGCCCAGCAAAUUCAUGAUGAAAUGAUGGUAAUUUAUGGAAACGAUUGUGGAAAUGAUAUAAGUAGUUGAAAUUUAGUUUAUUAAAGUUUAUGUUUCUAAUUCUGAAGGACAUUGUUAAGUUAUUUAACGAUAUGGCAAUGUUAUUGAAGAUUUUUUUUAACAAGAUUGGUAAAUUCAAAGGGAAAUUUGUUUAACUGACAUGCAUUCUUGAUAGGAGUUGGCACAUGCCUCCAGCAUAAUCUAACAGAAAUGUAGUUUAAACAUGUUACGUUCUAAUUCUGUAUUUAACUGAAAAUAUAAACCUCAAUUGUAAUUUUUAGACCAGAUGAACAAAAUACACUAGUUCUUCUUGUUCAUGAUGUUCAAGGAUUGAAUUGUCCCCACUGCUCAGUUCUGUUCUAUCAAUUUGGAAUAUUUACUAUCCUCUCCCUUACUCCAAAAAGGCCUCUGAGCCCCUAAGGAGCUUUGAACAGAGAAGAUCUGAGUCGUCACCACUCCAGCCUCAAAAAUCAAGUAAAAAGCAGCUUGAAAGGCACGCCUCUCAGACUCCCUAUGCAGAAGCAUAGCCUGAUUCCAUUUUUUGCUUAACUAUUUUUGACUCCCCAAAGAGCUUUCUAUGGUUAUCUUGAGAAGCGUAUAGUGAUAUGCUAUAUGCAUGGGACAAUUAACAGGUAGGGACUGCAGCUAUAGGGAUUUCUCUGUCCAGAGACGUUUACCUUGCGUCAUUUUGUGAAUACCAGGUAUUUUCCAAAUCGCUUACACUCUUACAUAUUUUCACAUUAAUGUGUAUGUUGUCUAGGCCUAAUUGCCACAAUUGUUCUUUAAUAGAAGAAACUGUUCUUGGAAUUCUGUGCUGAAGAUAAAGAUACAAAAUGCCCAAGUAAUGCUUAAAGGGAUCAAUGGCAUGAUAAUUCAUAAAUGUAUUUAAUAGUAUUUAUUUCUAUUAUGAACAUUGCUUAGAUUCAUAAAUAUGAAGAAAAUUCAAACUAAAUAAAAAUGUUUCAAUCAUGGAA